UAAAUAUUUAGCUAUCGUUUGCGUUUGACGUUCUCCCUUACCGCGACGCCGACUGCUGAUCUGAUCUGAUUUCUGGCUUUGAACCAUUGGCGUUGGCAGUAUUGAGGAGGAUGAGGAGACUCUGCCGCCGCCUCUGCCCGUUGCCGUUGAUGGUGUCUCAUCGCCUGGCCAGCGGAGUGUCUGGCUGGCUUUUUAUGAGUGGGUCGCUGUUUGUGCCUUGGCUGCCGCUUGUUUUGUUUAUUUGCUCAAGUCUUUCGCAAAAGUCGUUCUGGCAACAGUCGCUUUUUUCGUCUGUUUAUCUUGUUCAAAUUGCUGAAGAAUCGUAAAACUUAAAUUCACAUAUAUGUGACGAGCGGGUUGCGCAGACGAUGAUCGGAUAAGCCGUGUGUUUUAUGCGUUGCCAUCAAAGCAAAAAUGUGCAAUUAGCAAGUUGGUAAAGUCGCAGCCAAUUAAGAAAUAAUUCGCUAGAGUCUUAAGAAUUACGUAAGAAUGUAAAUGCCUCAUUAGCAGCUUUGCUGAUAACACGAGUGCAUCGGCCCACCGGUGGGUGAUGUUGCAGACAACAACACAAGAUUCUGGCACGUAUCCAGAACACACACCAUUACUCAAAUUAAAAAAAAUAAAAUAAAGCAUCAAACUCUCUUAAGUAGCUUUACUCAGUGCAACCUGUUGCCGCCUGACUGCCUCAUGCCACAAAAGUGGCCGGGCAGGUCGUCACUUACAGCCCAGACAUUAUCAUCAUUCUCAUCAGGAGCAGCAGCAGCAAUGCGACGACUCUGACGAUAUAUGGCUAACACCCAGCUCCCGCGCCGGUGACGUGUGCCAAGCUGCCUAGAAACUAGGAGGCAAAAAUAUGAGCCAACAGGCCACAGGCAGGCAGGCAGACUAGCCGCAAAAGACAUUGCACGAACUGCACGAGUUGCCAGCAGGCGACUGAGUCAGCUGCAUACCCAUAUAAGCCCCACCUCCCUCCCAACCACACACACACACACCACACUGCUCCUGUCGCACACCCAUGCCCCACAAUACGGCUACACUCAAUUGCGCACUAAUUUAGCGCAGCUAGCACUUAAUAAUUUCUUUUCAUAAUUGAGUAAAAAAAACUGGUGACGGAAAAGCGAACGGUGCGACGCCUGGGUGUGAUAGAGAUGUCAAGAGAUGAUACCGGGCAACUGCAUCUUGAGUAGCCAGCUAGAGAGCAUCUCAGGCACAGCGGACUGCAAGUUUCGAGGGUUGGCCAAAGACCCGUUUAAAGAAAUAUAUAACACUUCUAUUUAUGGUACACGUUAUUGGUGCAAAUGUGAGGAACUCAAGAGUUCCCAAAGUAGAUGUUACUCGUCAAAUAUGCCACACGAUACAUUGAGCACCUUCGCUUCCAUCUCAACUGACUAGCAAAACGACUGGCUUCUCCUGGUAGAAGAAAAACUAAGUGUCCCAUUACUGUAAAGCUCCAGUAAGCGCCUUCUGGGGCAAAAAAGAGAAGACUCAAACGGUGGCAUCCACAGGAACUAUCUAGCAGGAUGCUCUAAAAUUCACGAAAACUACAUCAAUAUACUUAAAAUUAUGGUCCACUUUUGCCUAAAUAAAUUUAAGUCUCAACGCAAUUUU